rnacentral:rRNA from 1 species
UGGUGGAGUGAUUUGUCUGGUUAAUUCCGUUAACGAACGAGACCUUGACCUGCUAAAUAGUCGCACGAAUCUUCUGAUUUGUGAUAGACUUCUUAGAGGGACUUUGCGUGUCUAACGCAAGGAAGUUUGAGGCAAUAACA